rnacentral:rRNA from 1 species
AAAUUGAAGAGUUUGAUCAUGGCUCAGAUUGAACGCUGGCGGCAGGCCUAACACAUGCAAGUCGAACGGUAGCACAGAGAGCUUGCUCUCGGGUGACGAGUGGCGGACGGGUGAGUAAUGUCUGGGAAACUGCCUGAUGGAGGGGGAUAACUACUGGAAACGGUGGCUAAUACCGCAUAACGUCGCAAGACCAAAGAGGGGGACCUUCGGGCCUCUUGCCAUCAGAUGUGCCCAGAUGGGAUUAGCUUGUUGGUGAGGUAACGGCUCACCAAGGCGACGAUCCCUAGCUGGUCUGAGAGGAUGACCAGCCACACUGGAACUGAGACACGGUCCAGACUCCUACGGGAGGCAGCAGUGGGGAAUAUUGCACAAUGGGCGCAAGCCUGAUGCAGCCAUGCCGCGUGUAUGAAGAAGGCCUUCGGGUUGUAAAGUACUUUCAGCGGGGAGGAAGGUGUUGUGGUUAAUAACCACAGCAAUUGACGUUACCCGCAGAAGAAGCACCGGCUAACUCCGUGCCAGCAGCCGCGGUAAUACGG